CAGUAGCCGCGGGAAUACAGAGGGUGCGAGCGUUAAUCGGAUUUACUGGGCGUAAAGCGUGCGUAGGCGGCUUUUUAAGUCGGAUGUGAAAUCCCUGAGCUUAACUUAGGAAUUGCAUUCGAUACUGGGAAGCUAGAGUAUGGGAGAGGAUGGUAGAAUUCCAGGUGUAGCGGUGAAAUGCGUAGAGAUCUGGAGGAAUACCGAUGGCGAAGGCAGCCAUCUGGCCCAAUACUGACGCUGAGGUACGAAAGCAUGGGGAGCAAACAGGAUUAGAGACCCCCGUAGUCCCUGUCUCUUAUAU
rnacentral:rRNA from 1 species